rnacentral:rRNA from 1 species
CGCAUCUGUGCAUGCAGCAUAUCAAUAAGCGGAGGAAAAGAAACUAACAAGGAUUCCCUUAGUAACGGCGAGUGAAGCGGGAAGAGCUCAAAUUUGAAAUCUUGAAAGGUCACCUUUCACGAAUUGUAGUUUAAAGAAGUGUUUUCUGUUACGAUCGUAAUAUAAGUUCUUUGGAAUAGGACAUCACAGAGGGUGAGAAUCCCGUCUAUGAUUGCGAUUUGUAGCUUUGUGAUACACUUUCAAAGAGUCGGGUUGUUUGGGAAUGCAGCCCAAAACGGGAGGUAAAUUUCUUCUAAGGCUAAAUAUUGGCGAGAGACCGAUAGCGAACAAGUACCGUGAGGGAAAGAUGAAAAGAACUUUGAAAAGAGAGUUAAAUAGUACGUGAAAUUGUCAAAAGGGAAGCGUUUAACACCAGUGUUGUUUUCUGAAAAUCAACCUCUGUUAGCUUUAUGCAUGUUUGUUUAGACCUAAUCAGCUAUCUUGCAUGUUCUAUUGUUUGCAGUGGUGCACUUUUCAGUUUACAGGUCAACAUCAGUUUUUUUUUACCGUAAAAAAGUUAAAGAAAGGUAGCUCAUGGCUCCGGUCGUGAGUGUUAUAGUCUUUUUCCUAUGCGGUAGGAGAGACUGAGGUCUGCAGUGUAGGCUAUUUGGCUAGAUACUCAGGUGCUAUGUGAUACCAUUUCAUAAACAACUUGUUGAUUAUGUUUUGUCUAUUGCAUACUCGCUUGUACUAUCAUACCUACGCUUAGGAUGUUGACGAUCAGCUGAGCGCG